GAUGAACGCUGGCGGCGUGCCUAAUACAUGCAAGUCGAGCGAACAGAUGAGGAGCUUGCUCCUCUGACGUUAGCGGCGGACGGGUGAGUAACACGUGGAUAACCUACCUAUAAGACUGGGAUAACUUCGGGAAACCGGAGCUAAUACCGGAUAAUAUAUUGAACCGCAUGGUUCAAUAGUGAAAGACGGUUUUGCUGUCACUUAUAGAUGGAUCCGCGCCGCAUUAGCUAGUUGGUAAGGUAACGGCUUACCAAGGCAACGAUGCGUAGCCGACCUGAGAGGGGGAUCGGCCACACUGGAACUGAGACACGGUCCAGACUCCUACGGGAGGCAGCAGUAGGGAAUCUUCCGCAAUGGGCGAAAGCCUGACGGAGCAACGCCGCGUGAGUGAUGAAGGUCUUCGGAUCGUAAAACUCUGUUAUUAGGGAAGAACAAAUGUGUAAGUAACUAUGCAUGUCUUGACGGUACCUAAUCAGAAAGCCACGGCUAACUACGU
rnacentral:rRNA from 1 species